GUCCCUUUCGUCUAGAGGUUUAAGGACAAUGCUCUUUCGCGGCAUAAACACGGGUUCAAAUCCCGUAAGGGAUA
rnacentral:tRNA from 1 species